rfam:Ixodes scapularis strain Wikel colony gcontig_1107728973608, whole genome shotgun sequence.
CCCUUGUUAGUUCAGUUGGCAGAGCGCUCCACUGGAAAUGGAGAUGUCCCGGGAUCGAUAGCCGAACCAGGUG